GUUUGUUUGGUACAGAUCUUUCAUUUUCCCCAUGUACGAUCUUAAAAUUUCAGUUAGGUACAGAUCUUUGAUUAUUGCUUGUUCCAGCAUUUGAGCAAGCAUGCAAGACAAUGUUUGAGCAAGUAGAUGGUGCAUUUCAAAAGGGAAUGUCUGAGCAAAUGUAUGCUAUUCAGCAGCAAGUUGAGGCUGCACAUACUCCGUUAGCGCUAACUCUAAAAGAAACCAUCAAUUCGCGCAGAUGGAGAUGGGCACAACUGGGUACGUGAAGCUGCCUCCGAUGAGGCCAUGUCGGAGACGGCCGGCAGGGCUAAGGCCAAUUUCAGGGUAAGCUUAACGAAGCUGGUCAACUAUAGCCGCUAGCAAGACCAUGCCGGUGGCAAGGUGGGCAGGUCAAUGAGUUGCCCGGAGCGAUAGAGAGCAGGUGAGCGCUGAAUUUCCUAGGAAAUCAUCUCCGUAUUAUUUCCAUUAAUCCGCAUUAACUAUAUCCAAAGCUAUUUAUUCUUAUAUUUCAAUGAAGGGCCACAUAAUCAUUCCACGUUUUGACACUGGGGUAUGUCCAUUGUUUCUACUAUUUGUUGAAGUCUUAGGUACAUUUGCGGUCAAUUGUCCUUCCUAAUUUUAGUGACAUUACAUUCUCUUUUAAACAAUAUCCUGAAAAUUUCCCCAUGUACGAUCUUAAAAUUUCAGUUAGGUACAGAUCUUUGAUUAUUGCUUGUUCCAGCAUUUGAGCAAGCAUGCAAGACAAUGUUUGAGCAAGUAGAUGGUGCAUUUCAAAAGGGAAUGUCUGAGCAAAUGUAUGCUAUUCAGCAGCAAGUUGAGGCUGCACAUACUCCGUUAGCGCUAACUCUAAAAGUAAGUUCAAGCCCUAUUUUUGAUAUACUUGUAUGUUAAAUAACAAGAACUUCAAUUGAUGGAUGCUCAUUUCUUUCCAGCCAUCUGCUAAGUAAUGAUUUCUGUAUUUUGUUUAUUUCACUUACUCCCAGGAAACCAUCAAUUCGCGCAGAUGGAGAUGGGCACAACUGGGUACGUGAAGCUGCCUCCGAUGAGGCCAUGUCGGAGACGGCCGGCAGGGCUAAGGCCAAUUUCAGGGUAAGCUUAACGAAGCUGGUCAACUAUAGCCGCUAGCAAGACCAUGCCGGUGGCAAGGUGGGCAGGUCAAUGAGUUGCCCGGAGCGAUAGAGAGCAGAUAGAGUCAGCAAUACAUAGUGUCUCUGGGGGCGCUGUGAUAAAAGGCCUGGAAGCAAUGGCAGUCACUAGCCUGAUGAUGUUUGUUGAAUCCUUGCAAGUAAACAUUAAAGCUGCCAUGAAGCUGGAUGAAGGCUCAUGUAGUCGAUUAACAACACUUACAGAAACAAUUUUAGAUGCUGUCAUUAACAAGUCACUGCUGAAUCUAUUCGAGUUGCUGCACUUAGGAACUCAAUCUUUGUUGAAUAAGUCCUUGACUCUUUUGCUUCUCCCUAUUGUUAAUUAGCAUACCAGGCAAAGUUAUAUUGAAUUUCUUGGGGAUCUCUUAUUUAAGGUUAGUAAUAUAUAUGGUGUUCGUUUUUAUAAAAUUGUUGUGUACUAAUAUUUUGUUUAAUAUUUUGUAUAAGUUUGACGAAGCAUUUACAAUGGCUCUUCAAAGGAGUGAUGUUUCCAUAGUAUCGUGGCUGUGCUCCCAGGUUGAUUUGCGGGCACUAUGUGCAAUGGUUCCAGUACCUCUUAACCAGGGGGUCUUUCUGGCCUUAUUGCAGCAGCUAGCAAUUGACAUUCACAAUGAGACAUCACGGAAGGUUCAAUGGAUGACAGAUGUUGCCAUGGCAAUCAACCCAGCAGACCAGAUCAUCGCGGUGCAUGUGCCACCAAUCUUUGAGCAAGUCUACAGCCAAUUGGCCCACCAACGGACACUCCCCACGGCCGCAUCAGAUGGCACCAGUAUCCGUGUGAUCAUGCAUGUAAUUAACUCGGUUCUGCUUAGCUAAGUAUGUGUUUUGUUGCUUAAGAA